rnacentral:rRNA from 1 species
UACGGAGGUGGCAAGCGUUGCUCGGAAUCACUGGGCGUAAAGGGCGCGUAGGCGGCCUUCUAAGUCGAACGUGAAAUCCCUGGGCUCAACCCAGGAACUGCGUCCGAUACUGGAAGGCUUGAAUCCGGGAGAGGGAUGCGGAAUUCCAGGUGUAGCGGUGGAAUGCGUAGAUAUCUGGAGGAACACCGGUGGCGAAGGCGGCAUCCUGGACCGGUAUUGACGCUGAGGCGCGAAAGCCAGGGGAGCAAACGGG